GGAUUUGUUGCUGUUAGAGGCUUUUGAUUGCCUCCGUGAGGACAUUUAUCUACUGUAUAGUGCAGUGAUCUGGAUAUCCGUGGUGAUCACGGGACAUGAAGAAUUAGGCUCUGCUACUGGAGGAGGGAGAAGAAUUUCUUUUCGGUGGGAAAAGUGCCUCGUUGAUCCGAUUGCUAUUGAUCGUUGAGCUCUGAUUUUCAUCAUUGCGAGUUAUUUUUCUCUCUUUCCUGGCGCGCCAAUCUGUUGCGGCC
rnacentral:lncRNA from 1 species